AUCGUGGCCUCCUCUUUACCCACCUGAAGUUGUACCCAGAAGAGAUGGACGUUUCUGCAGACUUGUUAUCCAGCCGGCUAAAAGAAUAGUGAGGAUUACAUUCAGAAGGGGCUUUAUCAAGAUCACAGUUCCAUUCAAUCUGAAUUCCUAUCACACCACCCUUAACAAAAGAGAGAGACAGGGUGAGUUGUUUAAACUUAGUUCAGUUAAAGUGUCUUCAAAUUUGUCAGGCCCUUGGGCGAGUUUUCCCCAGGGACAAAACCAGCUGCACUUCUGGUCCCAGACAUGAGCACACACCCCCCUGGAUGGGCUGAGUUCAGCUGUGUGAUAUUAAUCCCAUUACUCUACACACAACCCCAGCCUUUCCUGUGCUCAUAUCUGAAGAGCUUUCUCCCAGGACACUGAUUUUACUAAUUUAAGUGGCUGUAACAUACUUCAAUUGAGAAAAUUCUCUUUUAUGCAGGGACAGAGUUCCUGAAGUUCUGGGUUUAAACCAAUGGUGCAGUAAUGCUGAAAUUAAACAAAGAAUCCCUGCUGGCAGAGGUUUGGGCAGAAUAACAGAUAACUGACCUGACUAGCUCUUCCAGAGGACCCACAUCACCCUGCCUCCCAUUCCCUGGGGACAGGAUAAAUGGGACCAGCUUGACUUUAAGCACUGGCAUCUCUCCAGUGCAGCCUGGACAGGAGGCAGUUCCCUGGGCAGCGGGCAGUGACUUCCCUCACGGCCACCCAGCGCACAGAACAGCCAGUUGGGAAGACAUGUGAGCCCAAGGGACACUCCUACCCCCAAGGCCAUUUCCUGGAAGUCGCCCCCGGCCCAGCGGACGAUGUUCCCCAGCACGAAGAUGGGGCAGUAGGGAUGCUCGGCGCUGUAGCGGCAGGUCUUCAGCCUGAAGCCAAAGCAGAGGGAAUACCCACCUCCCCAGCCCAGCCCUCCAGCAGGAGAAGGACAGUGGAGCAAACAGAGGUUAUUGGUUCCAUGGUGGAGAGGACAGAGGGAUCUCCGAGCACCUGCACUUACUUGGAGAACUUAAACUUGGGGAAGCGAAUUGAGUUCUUGAUGUAAACAGUGAAGUUUUCUGCACUGCCAAGAAGGGGUUUCCUGGAAAAGAAAGGUUUGUUCUCUGUCUUAGAUUUGUACCCUGCCCACAUGCUAAAUCUUGAAUUGCCAUUUUAGAAACAGCCUCAUCCAACGGGUUGGAUGGCACCAGGCCAGCCAUGCCACUUUUCCCACACUGCCAGCAAGGAGUUGGUGAGGAGGGUGCAGGUUUAGGGGACACCCUGAGAGCUGGGAACAGCCCUGGGACAGCCAGUGAGCUAAGCAGGGGGAGCAGAGGGCCAGUCCUGCCAUGGGGACCUUGCAGAGCUCCCUCCUGCCCUGAACAGCCAACAUUCAGCAAGCACCCAAGCAGAGGGAACACAGAAACUGCCCUGAGUGACACACAAGCCAAGCAACUCAAGCUUGGAAACAGGAUAGGACGGCCACGUACUUGGGCUUGGAUCUUUUCUCCACUGGGCACCAGGCCAGUAUCUCACAAGUCCCUCUGGUGCUGUCCCUGUCUUUCAAACAACGGCCAGUCUUAACCCCUGCGAGCAGACACACAGAAAAGGUCACACAGAGCAGUCACCUCCUCUCCUUGCCUACAGGGCACAUGAAAAUAGAUGAUUUUCUCUCUCCUCCCUGCUGUGAAAGGGCAUCUCAGCUGGAACAAACACUCUCUUGUUGCUUCUCUGAGCAGCCCGGGGUGCCCUGGCCCAGCCACCGCAGAGCUGUAAGCAAGGCAGCAACUCAAUGGAAGAUAGUAAAGAAAGGAAAGGCUUUGCUGCUCUCUGUAAUCAGAGAUCUCUGGGAGUGUAACCAGGCUGAGGCCUCUGAAGGACACCAAACACAGCACAGGAGGAAGGACCCUUCCCUUACCAUUGCCAGCCACCACUGCUUCCCCUUCCAGGCAGUCCUCGUCCUUGUGACACAGGGCAUCGGGAAUGCUGGCACUCUGCAAAGUGCAACAGAAUCACAGGAUCAGAAUCACAGAACUCUGAGGACAGAAGUGAGACCUGCAACAGGACACAGGACUCAGAGGGGUAAGAAAGUGCUGCUGCUGUGGGGGGAAUUCUCUAUAUUGAAACAAAGAUUUCAUGAGCAUUUCUACACUUUGGCAUCCCAAGCCCCUCCCCGACAGUCUUAUUGUUACAAGGCAUCAGCAUCAAUAUUUAGUUAAAGACAACCUAAAUUUCUUCUACCUAACAAUCCUUGAAAUAAUUUCAAAUCUUAUUUUUACAAGACAUCGACAUCAAAUCUUUAGUUAAAGAUAACUUGAUUUAGUUUUGUCUACCUAAACAAUCUUCUGUUGUUUUAGUUCUCUGGGACCUACAGGUCACUGAACACAGCUGCAUGUUUUGAUAAUCUCUCUAAUUCCUUCUUCCCAUCAUUAACCAAUGUUUAAAUAAGAGCUACAAACUUACAAAGUUGAAGCUAUUUAGUAAAAUUCAAGCUAACACUGUUUACUCCCUUUCAAUAUGAACACCUAAAAGAUGCAGCUGAAGUGGUAACUGUGGGUCAUGCAAACAGCUCGGCAUAUCACACCACCAGGAACACCAGGAUUCACACACAGUCCUGAUUUUGGGUUCUGCUCAGUCUGGAGAGGGACAGACUGUGAAAAAACCCAGACGUUACCUGGCACUCACCAAAACCAGCCUGGAGGCCACGGUGCUUCACCCUAAGAGAUAACCCUACCUCGGGGAUCUAAGCUACGAGCUCUCCAGCCCAAAACUGCCCCUCUCCCGGCUGCACGGUGGGUUCCUGCAGCCACUAGAGGACAGCCGUGUCCUCAACAAUCCAGCUGUGCUCCCGGCCCUGGAAAAUCCAUCUCUGCCAGAGGGACACAGCGCUCCUGCACUGCCAGCACCCUCCUCCCCCAGCCACGUCUCCACAGAGGACAUUUCCACAUGACAUAAAGACCUCACGCCUCUGGCCCACGGGGCAUGUUCUAGAAGGUGCUAAGAACCCUCCUGUGUCUGGAAGGUAAUGAAAGCCUGAGUGUCCAGCCCUUCCCAGGAUGGGGCUCUUGAGAGUCUCCUCUACCCAUAACUACACUGAGUCACCUCCAAGUUGUUUUCCCACGGCCUUCUCUGACCCUGAGCAAUCACUGCCUGGUUUGGGCAGAAAUCCAACACCUUCACCUCAAGUCAGGAAGGCUCUACACGAUCAGUGCCUCUGGAAAUUAAGACAGCUGAGCCUCCCAGGUUUGCAGUAACCAGUCUGAUUUCCCAACUGAGAUAUCACACUACAGAGAAAAACCGUUCGCCUUCCGUCCUUCCUCUGGUUGUUGCUCCCCAGGAGUCCUCUGUCAGUUCUUACCCCUGGUUUUGUAGGGGUCUGGGGGCCAAGGGGCUCAGUUCUUCCUACCUCAGGACAGGUGGCUUGUCUCUGGUUUGGGGUCACGAUCAGAUUCGUCAUGACAAAGAAGACGCUUUCACCCUAAAAUAAACAGAGUAAAGCAGGAAA